rnacentral:rRNA from 1 species
AUUGAACGCUGGCGGCAGGCCUAACACAUGCAAGUCGAGCGGAUGAAGGGAGCUUGCUCCUGGAUUCAGCGGCGGACGGGUGAGUAAUGCCUAGGAAUCUGCCUGGUAGUGGGGGAUAACGUCCGUAAACGGGCGCUAAUACCGCAUACGUCCUGAGGGAGAAAGUGGGGGAUCUUCGGACCUCACGCUAUCAGAUGAGCCUAGGUCGGAUUAGCUAGUUGGUGGGGUAAAGGCCUACCAAGACGACGAUCCGUAACUGGUCUGAGAGGAUGAUCAGUCACACUGGAACUGAGACACGGUCCAGACUCCUACGGGAGGCAGCAGUGGGGAAUAUUGGACAAUGGGCGAAAGCCUGAUCCAGCCAUGCCGCGUGUGUGAAGAAGGUCUUCGGAUUGUAAAGCACUUUAAGUUGGGAGGAAGGGCAGUAAGUUAAUCCCUUGCUGUUUUGACGUUACCAAAAGAAUAAGCACCGGCUAACUUCGUG